rnacentral:lncRNA from 1 species
CUGCCUCAGCCUCUCACUGCCAUCCUGCACUAAGUUUUAAAAUUUGUUUUCAUUUUUUUUUUUUUUUUAGCCACCCAAGUAGCAUGUGGGAUCUUAGUUCCCUGACCAGGGUUUGAACACCUGCUCCCUGCAUUGGAAGCACAGAGUCUUAACCACUGGACCUCCAGGGAAGGCCUGUGAAAGGGGAAUGCUGUCCCCAAAUGGAUGAACCUGUUGACUAGCCGAUCAGUAAACUGUAAAUGCUGCUGUAAAAUAAAGAGUGUUUGGGCGAUAAAUCAGACAGGAAGAAUUCUCGGUUUCCCCGGGGAGCAUUUUUGAAGACUUUCUAGGAAAGUCCCAAUACAAAGGAACAACUCCGCUUCAAAGUGUCCCGUGAAAAGCUACAUCCCAGGAGAACCUGCCUUCCAAAAAGCUCACCCCUCCUCCCGCAGUGGUACCCACUGCCAGGCAGCCAGGACUGUUAAUACAUGCAGUGAUGGGCACAUCCUGAAUAUUCCUGAAGAUUCAUUGGAAGGACUGAUGCUGAAGCUUCAAUACUCUGGCCACCUGAUGCCAAGAGCUGACUCAUUGGAAGAGACUCUGAUGCUGAGAAAGAUUGCGAACAGGAGGAGAAGGGGAUGACAGAGGAUGAGAUGGUUGGAUGGCACCACUGACUUGAUGGACAUGAAUUUAAGCAAACUCCAGAAGAUAAUGAAGAACAGGGAAGCCUGGCGUGCUGCAGUCCAUGGGGUCACAAAACAGUCAGAUACAGCUGAGCAACUGAACAACUAAAUGAUUUUCAGAGGGAGUUAUUACGUGAAAUCUUAACUUGAAGAUGGUUUAAAUGACUCAGGGUGAAGCUGAAUUUCCCCAUCACUUUAAAAAUAUUUAUUGAAAUAAAUAAACCAUAUCACUGGGCCA